UAUGACCUGGGCUACACACGUGCUACAAUGGGCGGUACAAAGGGUCGCGAACCCGCGAGGGGGAGCCAAUCCCAAAAAGCCGCUCUCAGUUCGGAUUGCAGGCUGCAACUCGCCUGCAUGAAGCCGGAAUCGCUAGUAAUCGCGGAUCAGCAUGCCGCGGUGAAUACGUUCCCGGGCCUU
rnacentral:rRNA from 1 species